UACGUAGGGUGCGAGCGUUGUCCGGAAUUAUUGGGCGUAAAGAGCUCGUAGGCGGUUUGUUGCGUCGGCCGUGAAAACCUGCAGCUUAACUGUGGGCCUGCGGCCGAUACGGGCAGACUUGAGUUCGGUAGGGGAGACUGGAAUUCCUGGUGUAGCGGUGAAAUGCGCAGAUAUCAGGAGGAACACCGGUGGCGAAGGCGGGUCUCUGGGCCUUACCUGACGCUGAGGAGCGAAAGCGUGGGUAGCGAACAGG
rnacentral:rRNA from 1 species